UACGUAGGGGGCAAGCGUUGUCCGGAGUUACUGGGCGUAAAGCGCUCGCAGGCGGUGCGAUGCGUCGGUGGUGCCAGCUCUGUGCUUCACACAGGGAGUGCUGCCGAAACGGUCACACUUGAGGGCCAGAGAGGGACAUGGAACUCCGGGUGGAGUGGUGAAAUGCGUAGAGAUCCGGAAGAACACCAAAGGCGAAGGCAGUGUCCUGGCUGGCGUCUGACGCUGAGGAGCGAGAGCGAGGGGAGCGAACAGG
rnacentral:rRNA from 1 species